rnacentral:tRNA from 1 species
GUCGGUGGUUCAGUGGCAGAAUACUCGCCUGCCCCGCGGGUGGCCCGGGUUCGAUUCCCGGCUUAGACU